AAGUCGUAACAAGGUCUCCGUUGGUGAACCAGCGGAGGGAUCAUUAUUGAUUUUACCUAAUUAUAGUGAAUUACAUUGCUUCGUACGUGAGUACGAUAAUUAUAUUAUAGUAAUAAACAAAACAAAUACAAACAACAAAACUUUCAACAACGGAUCUCUUGGCUCUG
rnacentral:misc_RNA from 1 species